rnacentral:rRNA from 1 species
CCAGCAGCCGCGGUAAUACGUAGGGGGCCAGCGUUGUUCGGAAUUACUGGGUGUAAAGGGUUCGUAGGCGGUGUGGCAAGUCGGGAGUGAAAUCUCUGGGCUCAACUCAGAGGCCGCUUCCAAAACUGCUGUGCUGGAGUGUGGGAGAGGCGCGUGGAAUUGCAGGUGUAGCGGUGAAAUGCGUAGAUAUCUGCAGGAACACCCGUGGCGAAAGCGGCGCGCUGGACCGUUACUGACGCUGAGGAACGAAAGCUAGGGGAGCAAACAGGAUUAGAUACCCUGGUA